rnacentral:rRNA from 1 species
AUUGAACGCUGGCGGCAGGCCUAACACAUGCAAGUCGAGCGGAUGAAGGGAGCUUGCUCCUGGAUUCAGCGGCGGACGGGUGAGUAAUGCCUAGGAAUCUGCCUGGUAGUGGGGGAUAACGUCCGGAAACGGGCGCUAAUACCGCAUACGUCCUGAGGGAGAAAGUGGGGGAUCUUCGGACCUCACGCUAUCAGAUGAGCCUAGGUCGGAUUAGCUAGUUGGUGGGGUAAAGGCCUACCAAGGCGACGAUCCGUAACUGGUCUGAGAGGAUGAUCAGUCACACUGGAACUGAGACACGGUCCAGACUCCUACGGGAGGCAGCAGUGGGGAAUAUUGGACAAUGGGCGAAAGCCUGAUCCAGCCAUGCCGCGUGUGUGAAGAAGGUCUUCGGAUUGUAAAGCACUUUAAGUUGGGAGGAAGGGCAGUAAAUUAAUACCUUGCUGUUUUGACGUUACCAACAGAAUAAGCACCGGCUAACUUCGUG